rnacentral:rRNA from 1 species
GAUGCGUUCCAUUAGGCAGUUGGUGAGGUAACGGCUCACCAAACCUUCGAUGGAUAGGGGUUCUGAGAGGAAGGUCCCCCACAUUGGAACUGAGACACGGUCCAAACUCCUACGGGAGGCAGCAGUGAGGAAUAUUGGUCAAUGGGCGCAGGCCUGAACCAGCCAAGUAGCGUGAAGGAUGACUGCCCUAUGGGUUGUAAACUUCUUUUAUAUGGGAAUAAAGUUUUCCACGUGUGGAAUUUUGUAUGUACCAUAUGAAUAAGGAUCGGCUAACUCCGUGCCAGCAGCCGCGGUAAUACGGAGGAUCCGAGCGUUAUCCGGAUUUAUUGGGUUUAAAGGGAGCGUAGGUGGACAGUUAAGUCAGUUGUGAAAGUUUGCGGCUCAACCGUAAAAUUGCAGUUGAUACUGGCUGUCUUGAGUACAGUAGAGGUGGGCGGAAUUCGUGGUGUAGCGGUGAAAUGCUUAGAUAUCACGAAGAACUCCGAUUGCGAAGGCAGCUCACUGGACUGCAACUGACACUGAUGCUCGAAAGUGUGGGUAUCAAACAGGAUUAGAUACCCUGGUAGUCCACACAGUAAACGAUGAAUACUCGCUGUUUGCGAUAUACAGUAAGCGGCCAAGCGAAAGCAUUAAGUAUUCCACCUGGGGAGUACGCCGGCAACGGUGAAACUCAAAGGAAUUGACGGGGGCCCGCACAAGCGGAGGAACAUGUGGUUUAAUUCGAUGAUACGCGAGGAACCUUACCCGGGCUUAAAUUGCAUUUGAAUAUAUUGGAAACAGUAUAGCCGUAAGGCAAAUGUGAAGGUGCUGCAUGGUUGUCGUCAGCUCGUGCCGUGAGGUGUCGGCUUAAGUGCCAUAACGAGCGCAACCCUUAUCUUUAGUUACUAACAGGUCAUGCUGAGGACUCUAGAGAGACUGCCGUCGUAAGAUGUGAGGAAGGUGGGGAUGACGUCAAAUCAGCACGGCCCUUACGUCCGGGGCUACACACGUGUUACAAUGGGGGGUACAGAAGGCAGCUACCUGGUGACAGGAUGCUAAUCCCAAAAGCCUCUCUCAGUUCGGAUCGAAGUCUGCAACCCGACUUCGUGAAGC